CCCAGGGACCGAGCACACCAAAGCCAGCUCCAAGGAGUUCCCUGGAGUGGCAGUUCUUCAGACAAUGUGCUGACGACAAGACACGAGUGGUUUGCACGCUGUGCAAUCAGAGCCUGAAGCGAGGCAUAUAUGUUCUAAACCUGAGCACAACCUGCAUGACCAGGCAUCUAUAUGCAAAGCACGAGCUGCAGUGGAGUAAGCACCUCAAAAACCAAGAAAGGUCUCAG